GACAGAGGGGGCAAGCGUUGCUCGGAAUUACUGGGCGUAAAGGGCGCGUAGGCGGGGUGGCAAGUCGGUCGUGAAAUCCCUCGGCUCAACCGAGGAACGUCGAUCGAUACUGCUGUUCUUGAGGAUUGCAGAGGAGACUGGAAUUCCCGGUGUAGCGGUGAAAUGCGUAGAGAUCCGGAGGAACCCCAGAGGCGAAGGCGGCGCCCUGGCCCGACACUGACGCUCAGACACGACAGCACGGGGAGCGAACGGG
rnacentral:rRNA from 1 species